AGAGUUUGAUCCUGGCUCAGGGUGAAUGCUGGCGGUAUGGAUAAGGCAUGCAAGUCGAACGGGUUCAGACCCGUGGCAGACGAGGUAGUAACAGGUAGGAACGUCCCCGGAAGUCGUGCAUAACCGGUCGAAAGAUCGGACAAUUCACGAUGGUCUCGCAAGAGUAAAGAUUUAUCGCUUCCGGAGCGGCCUGCCUCGUAUCACGCUAGUUGGUUAGGUAAUGGCUGACCAAGGCUAUGACGCGUAGGGGAGCUGAGAGGCUGACCCCCACCGAUGAGACUGAGACACGGCUCAUACCCCUACGGGGGGCCGCAGCCGAGAAUAUUCGACAAUGGGCGAAAGCCUGAUCGAGCGAUACCGCGUGGUGGAUGAAGGCCUUCGGGUCGUAAACACCUUUUAUGGAGGAGGAAGUUAUUGACGUUACUCCAUGAAUAAGGGGCUCCUAACUCUGUGCCAGCAGGAGCGGUAAUACAGAGGCCCCAAGCAUUACCCGGAAUCACUGGGCGUAAAGCGUGUGUAGGUGGUUAUAUUAGUCGUUCGUUAAAACCCCGGGCCUAACCCGGGAAGUGCGGGCGAAACGGUAUAACUCGAGGGCGUGAGAGGUGCAUAGAACUCUAGGUGUAGGGGUGAAAUCCGUUGAUAUCUAGGGGAAUACCGAAAGCGAAGGCAGCACUGGCGCGUUCCUGACACUCAAACACGAAAGCGUGGGUAGCGAACGGGAUUAGAUACCCUAGUAGUCC
rnacentral:rRNA from 1 species